rnacentral:rRNA from 2 species
AUGGUUAAGCUAAUAAGAGCACACGGAGGAUGCCUAGGCGCCAGGAGCCGACGAAGGACGUGGCGAACAACGAAACUGCCUCGGGGAGCUGUAAGCAAGCUUUGAUCCGGGGGUGUCCGAAUGGGGAAACCCAGCUGUGGUAAUUCGCAGUUACUCAUACCUGAAUACAUAGGGUGUGUAGAGGCAGACCAGGGGAACUGAAACAUCUAAGUACCCUGAGGAAGAGAAAACAAUAGUGAUUCCGUCAGUAGCGGCGAGCGAACGCGGAACAGCCUAAACCAAGGGGCUUGCCCCUUGGGGUUGUGGGACGUCUCACAUGGAGUUACAAAGGAAUAUAGUAGGUGAAGAGGUCUGGAAAGGCCCGCGAUAGAGGUAAAAGCCCUGUAACCUAAACUGUGUUCUCUCCGAG